UGCCCGGCUCCAGCGCCGCCCCCGCCCGCGCUGCUCCCGCACGCCCGCCGCCACUUCCGGGGACCGCGCGGCGCCCCCGGGACUCGGCGCGGGGCCGGCAUCGGGGCGGGGCUCCCCGGGACACGGGGUGGGCCCCCACGGCUCCCGCCCUUCCAUCCGCGCGCGGGGGCGCCGGCACCCUGGCUCGUCUCCGAAGCGCAUCCGCGUUCCCGGGACGCACGGGGGCCCGGAGGAGCCGGCUUAGGGGUCCGCAUAGGGGGCAGGUGCGCAGAUAUCCAGAGGGCCGCGAGCCCCCUCACCCGCCUGCGAAGCACGGCCUGGGUCCGGCAGGGGCCUGGAGGAGCGGGGCGCCCCGGCGGAGGGGGUGUGCAUGGGGACGACGGUGGAGGUGGCGUGGGAGUCCUCCCGGAUCGGACUAUUCCGCCCUCGGAAUUCCCUUCUCCAGAUCCGAGUGUGGUCAGGCAUGGAGGUUCUUGGGAAUCUACUGAAAAGAAAAUUAAUGGGUGGAAGAGAGUUUGAAUGAGCCUUUAACAUUGGCUCUUGGUGUCUGUGCAGCUUUCUGAACUGCCCUUCCUGAAGUCUCAGUACCACAGGGGGUACUUGUCUUGUGGGGUAGACGGUCCGGUCCUCGCUGUAUUUCCCUGUCACCUGAGGCUGCUUCUGCAUGUGUAGCAACAGUGUUACCUUCCCAGGGGCGUCCUUGGGCCUUUGGUACAUCCAUGUAUCUGUACCCACCGGCUGUUGUCACAGGGCUGCGCUGUCUUGAGCUAUGUACCACGACUCAGUUAUCAUCUCCAGUCCCACGUGCAGACUUUCUACUAGUAACUAGUGCCUUGAGACAGUGCGCUGGUGCCAACUUCACAGAGUCUUCUGUCCUACUUCCUGUUUCCCUCCUGAUUUGGCAGCCGGAUUCCCUUUCAGGAAUUGAGGGAGAUACCCUUCCUGGAUGGCCCACAGGGCAGGCUGGAUGGAGACAAGAGGUUGGCAACAUCAGCAUCCGGACCUGCUAUUUUAACCCGCAGAUGUCCUGAGAAGAACUUUACCUUUUGUUGUGGUUUGUGUUCCAGAUGGCCUGGAGGCAGCGUUAACUGUUGUUAGGAAAAGUUAAAAGUCAGAUAUUUGUUUAUUUAUACCCUGCCUCAUCCGACAAAGAAUUUGUGGAGUGUCACGUGGUAUAAUACUAAUAAAUUAAUAAAAACCUG